ACCUUGUCCUUAGUUACCAGCACGUUAUGGUGGCACUCUAAGGAGACUGCCGGUGACAAACCGGAGGAAGGUGGGGAUGACGUCAAGUCAUCAUGGCCCUUACGGCCUGGGCUACACACGUGCUACAAUGGUCGGUACAAAGGGUUGCCAAGCCGCGAGGUGGAGCUAAUCCCAUAAAACCGAUCGUAGUCCGGAUCGCAGUCUGCAACUCGACUGCGUGAAGUCGGAAUCGCUAGUAAUCGUGAAUCAGAAUGUCACGGUGAAUACGUUCCCGGGCCUU
rnacentral:rRNA from 1 species